rnacentral:misc_RNA from 1 species
GAUGAAGAACGCAGCGAAAUGCGAUAAGUAGUGUGAAUUGCAGAAUUCAGUGAAUCAUCGAAUCUUUGAACGCACAUUGCGCCCCUUGGUAUUCCAUGGGGCAUGCCUGUUCGAGCGUCAUUUGUACCCUCAAGCUUUGCUUGGUGUUGGGCGUCUUGUCGUAUUACGACUCGCCUUAAAUACAUUGGCAGCCGGCACUUUGGCCUAGGAGCGCAGCACAUUUUGCGAUCGUAGCCCGUUGUACUGGCGUCCAUCAAGAACAUUUACCACGUUUGACCUCGGAUCAGGUAGGGAUACCCGCUGAACUUAAGCAUAUCAAUAAGCGGAGGAU